CGAAGGGGGCUAGCGUUGCUCGGAAUUACCGGGCGUAAAGGGAGCGUAGGCGGGUUAUCAAGUUGGAGGUGAAAGCCCAGGGCUCAACCUUGGAAUUGCCUUCAAAACUGAUAACCUAGAGGAUGAUAGAGGUAAGUGGAACUCCGAGUGUAGAGGUGAAAUUCGUAGAUAUUCGGAAGAACACCAGUGGCGAAGGCGACUUACUGGAUCAUUACUGACGCUGAGGCUCGAAAGCGUGGGGAGCAAACAGGAUUAGAUACCCUGGUAGUCCACGCCGUAAACGAUGAUUGCUAGUUGUCAGCCGGCAUGCCGGUUGGUGACGCAGCUAACGCAUUAAGCAAUCCGCCUGGGGAGUACGGUCGCAAGAUUA
rnacentral:rRNA from 1 species